CAACCACUGAAAACCACAGCAACCACAGCGAACAUGAUUACUAGAGACACUUCAGAUGUAUUCCUAAGAAGUGAAGAAUGCCCGGCAUCAGUGCUAUUUCAAAAAUAAAAAUAAAAAGAGAAUUACACAUUAGUAAAGGGCAGGGGGAAGAUUUGCAGAGGGGAACCUUCCUGGGUGGCUCAGUUGGUUAGGUGUCUGCCUUUGGCUCAUGUCAUGAUCCCAAGGGUCCUGGAAUCGAGUACCACAUCCGGCUCUGCUCACGGGGACCCUGCUUCUCUCUCUGCCUCUGCCUCUCUCUCUGAUGGAUAAAUAAAUAAAAUCUUAAAAAAAAAGAUUUGCAGAAAAUCUCACUACAUUGAAAAUCUAAAGGAAUCACUUAAUUGGAGUUUACCAUGGUGGUCAAAUAAAGGCCUAAAGAAGGACUGACUGGAGGAGCUAGACCACUUUAAAGGACUGGCAAGAAUGUCAGGGGAGAAUCCUUGCAAGGGCUCCAGGAACAAGGGGAGGGGCAGGCAGGUCCCCCCGGUGCUUGUUGUGGGGUUCGCGCCCACCCGCACACUCGCCUUUCCGGCUCAAAUAUUCAGCAGUCGUAACAGGUACUGGAUCUGUUCCAACCUGCAGCCACGCCCUCAGGAGUAGGCCCCGCCCGCGGCGCUGGUUCUAACUUCCGCCAAGUCUGCGGGCCCAAUUCCGUCCCCGCUCCCGCGCCCGGCCCACCCCGGUCCGCCCACAGCCACGCGGGAGGAAAUUAGAAGUUUCCCGCCUGAGGUGGUCGGAUGGGGCCGACGCCCGGAAAGCGGGGGCCGCCCCUUCCGGCCUCAGACAGGAAGCGGAAGUGGGGUCACGCAGGCCCAGGGGUCUUUUCCGCCGCUGGUCAGGUUUCGCUUUGGCUGUGGGUCACCGCAGGCCAGGAGCCUGCAAAGCAACCUUUGUGACUUUUCUCCAGGGGGGAAGAACUUCCGCCGGUCGAGUUGGCCGAUUCUGGGCGUGUCCUCGCGUCCUUGCGGACCACGCGGUUCCGGCGCAUUCUGGGAAAUGGAAGCAUAUGUAGGCCACAGUCUUUUUGCUAAAGAAAAACAAGAAUACUCACCUGUGUCUUCAUCUGAACGUCGUUAAGACUACAACCCCACAAAACUUUAAAUGAAGGGCCUCUAACAAAAACAAAUGGAGGCUUUUUUGUCCUAGUUCUGGAAUAAUUGAACUUCCCAGUAACAGGAUAUUUUGACUACGUGUAUUUUUUUCCUUUGAAAAAUCUUUAACCUAAAUAAAAUAUGAACAUACAGUACUAUGAAUUUCCA
rnacentral:lncRNA from 1 species